GAGUCCCGUAGGUGAAGCUUUGUGUAUAGAUGGCCAUUUUGUUGGCUACGUUGCAAAAGCAUGAAGCCUUCCAGCUGUUGUUGAAUUACAACUUCCAUGAUCCCAAAGAACAAGCUGCCCCCUUCACUAAUAUUUUUAAAGUUGGCCAUCAUUAUUAGGUUUUGAAUUGUGUGGAGAGGAGGUAUAUUUUUGGACUCCUAUGGAGCAAAAACCAUUGGGAAACCCAUUUAUCAUUACUAUCAUUAAGCUGCUUAACCCUAAAUCACAAUUGGCCCCACCCUAUAGGAAAACAAGAGGGCUUCCUGGAGCACCUCGCACAUUGCUUUCUGUCCUUCUACAACUAUUAUGCUGCAUUCAGCUCAAGUCUCUCGAUAAAGAAACCCUUACUUUUUCUUCUGAUUACUGGCACCCAAGGCUUUAUAAGGGUCCGUCAGAAGUACAUGAUCCCCCGUUAGUUCCUUAAGUUCUGUGAUCUUACCGGGUAUAUUCCACCCAGGUUUAUAUAUUUUUCACAAAGAUACAUCCAUAUGGCUGGUGUUUGCAGUCCUGGUAUCCAUCUGUGCCCU